GGGAUUGGGAUGCGACCCGCGAAUGUGUGUCAGAGUUUGGUGUGCAAUUACAAGAAAAGUGUCUCAACGAAGCGGGGGGAAACACUCAGAACGGAACGGUGUAUAACAGUCGGUGCAAAAUUCAAAUUUAAAUUUAGCCUUUUUCGCACCGAAGAAGUAGCGCACAUGCGGUGCCAAUGGAAGACACGGUUCUCAUGGCAUGCUUCAAGUAGAGCAUGUUUAUUGAGGCCUUGUGCCCUGUGUCUGAUAUCCUCGAAACUGGCCUUCCAACCGUGCAAUUGUUCUGCAAACUGCAACGCCGUUUUACGACCUUCAUAGUCCAAAGCCGACAAACCAUGACCGUCGGCCAGGAAGUGAACGAAGCAUCUACGCAAGUCGAGCGAUAUGAUGACGAUAAAUGGCACACAAAAAAGCUAACAAACAGAAACCUUCCAUGCGAGAACCAUGCGGGCGCCCCGAAAAUGUUUAUUCAUCCAUUGUCGAGUUGGGUUCUUCGUCGCACGCUCCGGAUUCUGUGGUUGCUUUAUCGCGUUGGAGAAGGUUCUGCCCGUGCCUACUUCGUUCUCCGUUCGGCAUGGAACCGGUUUCGUUUUUGGAGUUUCUGGGGUUUAUUACGCCCUUCGCUGUGGGAAGAAACUGGACCACAAAGAACAAGAUGCAAGAAGCAUCGGAGCAUGGAACAUGCUUUUGUAAUGCUCGCCUAUUUGCUUGCGGUGCUCGUUUGUUCUGAGUGACCUUUUCGUGGCUUAUCAUCAGCGUGUGUGUUGCGGUUUGCGAUGAUUACGAUGAUCGCUUUUUUGCGUAAUCUUCAGAAGAACCUUUUUUUUUUUAAGUGGUUUCCCGUUCCAAAUAAUUCCAAAUCAAAAACUUCUGUUUUGAUUCGCUUCAUUGAAUGUUAGCUGAACGCAGCAAGCGUUGACGCUUCGUUCGUGUACGACAACACUCUACCGGUGUUUGUUUAUUUGUUUUGUCUUUUUAAUUUGUACAGCAAACGCCUCGCCAUUGUGACUGGGGGAAAAGGCGAAGGUUUCGGUGUGGGAAUUUCAAUGCCGUUUGAUUUUUCCUGCUCGUCACUGGAAUUCUGUGCCGUUCAUAUUAAAGGAAGGUACAGCAAUCUGUUACUGGAAUACUGGAAAAUCCCGGCGGAACGAGUUCACGGGUUUGUUGCCGUCCCUGAGUCACAAGCAGCUCUACUCGCGGAAGGGUUGAACCCCAAUCAACAUUUGGAACGAAUCGAUUAACGGUGCAAUUAACGCACAGCAUGGAGCGGAAACACAAAGACACACGUAACACAGUGUCGGGCGGCAACAGGUUGGCUUUUGCAGCGCUUAUCGAACGCUUGUGUUUGAACUUUGAUAAAGAAAACAUCUUUUUGUCGCCGCCGAUUUGAGCUCAAUUGGCAGGGGUUUUGCUUAGUAGAGACAGCAAGACGGCACACGGCAGUUGGCGACAAGACGGAUCGAUACUUUCCGGCGUUCGGGUGAUGAUAAUAAUGCGUGUCUCUACAGUUUGCGCCACAAAGACGCGUGUUUGCUUUUGUUGAACGCUAGACACGAUGUCAUGCCCGUUGUUCGUUGUAGUUUGGAUGACUUGGGUGACACUAGUAGCGAUGUAAGUGGGGGAUAGUUAUGCGCUGAUGAUGCACAAAGAGCUCGCUAGCGUUUACUGGAGCCAAUUACUACUCUCUACGGCGAUCAACAGACAACAAUGAUAGCAGACUGUCUUUUUUUCUAAUAUGAAAGACACUUACCUGUAGAACAGAAUUCCAUAUGAUUGAAUCACACGCAAAAAGUCGGAGUCUUUUGUGAAGGGAUCUUUGUUUGGGGGUGCGAUUUUCGUUUCUUUAUUGCAUCCAGUUUGCUCUUUCCCUUUGUUUGUGUGGGCCAAAAUAACCGUGAACGGUCACGACCUAACCCAAUGAUUUUUGUUGUAUCUGACGACGACGACGACAAGCGUACAGUUUAGUGUCUAGGUUAAUACUUGCAAGGUCGGGUUUAAUGUUCCAAAAAUUACAAAGGAAUGUCCUGCAUCGAACUUGAAACAUCUCAUGUGCUCCAAUCCCAUCAAAUAACUAACAAAAAGAUCCAUUAUGCUGCGAGUAGUAGUGACGUUACUAAAAAUAAAACUACCCGCUGACCGUAUUCCAAAUGAACAGUAGUACUUUGCACUACAGAGUCGUCCGUUCCAAGAUCGUUCGUGGGAGUUUAUGAAGAUUGCUUUAUUUUUGUUUUCGUUUCAAGUGACCCUAAUAACAAGUGAAAACAAUCUCUUACUUGGGUAGGCUUGAGUAGGAUCAAAAGAACGUUGUUUUUCUUCGGGAAUUCAUAUAAACGGCACGUGAAAAACAUUUGAUUCAAUUUUUGAAUUUGAUUUUAACACCAUUACAGAGGGAAAUGGCACAGUAAAAUCAGGUUAGUCGUUGUUAACAAGCGUUAAAACACAUGUUCAACAUGUGGUACUAUAAAUGGCUUGUCAUGUAGGGCGCGACAUGUUCUCUUUUUUAUAGACCAGAGCUGGAAAUGUGCUCCCAUGUGGAGUUGGACCGAUUUUGUGUUCCACAAAGAGAAAAGAAACAUAUUGGAAAAUGGGAUAUAAUGAAUAGUAUAUCAACAAGAAGAAAUACAUCGAAGAAGCGAAGGAAAUACCAAUUGGAAUUAAAGGCAAAUCCACCAACAUUAAUUUUACAAGCAUUCAAAUUAAAUGCAAUUAGAAGUUGAGCGGACAUAAGCACUUUAUCCGGGUCAACCACUUCCUUGGCAAUUUGAUCCGACAUUCUUCCCUGAAUCGCUUUCACACCCACCGGGUGGCAUUUAAUGUAAUUAAUUUUCGCAUCGACCACCGUCACGCAAGGACAGCCGAGGCACACCCCAAACUCUGACACCUGACGGUCUGAGGUAGGUCGACAAAACAACGAAAUUACCCACUUUUUCCCCCUUUCAACUUCGCAU